rnacentral:rRNA from 1 species
GAUGAACGCUGGCGGCGUGCCUAACACAUGCAAGUCGAACGGAGAUAGAACGCUGUCGAGACUUCGGUCAAAACUUGUUUUAUCUUAGUGGCGGACGGGUGAGUAACGCGUGGAGAACCUGCCUCGUACUGGGGGAUAACAGUUGGAAACGACUGAUAAUACCGCAUAAGCCCACGAGACCGCAUGGUCAUGAGGGAAAAGAUUUAUCGGUACGAGAUGGAUCCGCGUCUGAUUAGCCAGUUGGCGGGGUAACGGCCCACCAAAGCGACGAUCAGUAGCCGGCCUGAGAGGGCGACGGCACAUUGGGACUGAGACCACGGCCCAA